CACAAGAUUUUAGUUUGCGAUCACUCAUAGAUUUUUAACAUGUCUUUAGGUAAAAUGGAUCGCGGAUUUUUUCUUAUUAUCGUGGUAUUAACAGUGUUAGUCAACUUUAUUCAAGGCUCUGCUGAAGAAGAACCUAAUGCGAUGAGAAGGAACUCGCUUUUAGAAAAACUUGGCAUGGAAUUACACAGGGAUCCAGCCUACUACGAAUACAAACCCUACAAACCAUACAAACGGCGCUGCUACUGUGGACCUAAGCGACGCCGGUACGGGAAGCGAAAGGGUGAUUCCGACUCGAACUCAGACUCUGACUCUGACUCGGACAAUGGCGGAUCACCCGGAUAUUACCGAAAAUAUGGUAAAUACAAGAAAUACGGAGGAUUUCGGUAUCGGGGGAACCGUUCUUCAGACGAAGAGUAGAGAAUCGAUAUUGAAAACAGCAAUGGAUGGAAAAUCAAUGAAAGGACAAGGAUUAUGAGGAACUAACGGAAUAUCGCGACAAAAAAAAAAAUAGAAGAAACUCUGCCACGAUUGUGACUUUGCUUUUUUUCUGCCCUUACAACUUUCGUUUCUGCAUUCUUUUUAAAUGGUGUAGCCUUAUAAUGAUAAAAUUUUAACAUUUAAAUUCUCAAGAUGCGGCUUGCAAUCGUCUCUUUUAGCUAAUAAUAAUAAAUCAAAUAAACUUUAUGUAUGAGUUAGGAAA